rnacentral:rRNA from 1 species
CCUACGGGAGGCAGCAGUGAGGAAUAUUAGACAAUGGGCGCAAGCCUGAUCUAGCCAUGCCGCGUGCAGGAUGAGGGCCCUAUGGGUUGUAAACUGCUUUUAUACAGGAAGAAAAAACUCUACGUGUAGAGUCUUGACGGUACUGUAAGAAUAAGGAUCGGCUAACUCCGUGCCAGCAGCCGCGGUAAU